rnacentral:tRNA from 1 species
GCGCCUGUAGCUCAGUGGAUAGAGCGAGUGCGUUCUAAGCACCAGGUCGGGGGUUCGAAUCCCUCCAGGCGUA